rnacentral:tRNA from 1 species
AAAAAUGAAAAAAAAAUUAAGUUUCGGCCUUAAUAACUUUGAAAAUCAAAAUCAAACAUUUUUA